rnacentral:rRNA from 1 species
AUUGAACGCUGGCGGCAGGCUUAACACAUGCAAGUCGAGCGGGGUGAUGGUGCUUGCACUAUCACUUAGCGGCGGACGGGUGAGUAAUGCUUAGGAAUCUGCCUAUUAGUGGGGGACAACAUCUCGAAAGGGAUGCUAAUGCCGCAUACGUCCUACGGGAGAAAGCAGGGGAUCACUUGUGACCUUGCGCUAAUAGAUGAGCCUAAGUCGGAUUAGCUAGUUGGUGGGGUAAAGGCCUACCAAGGCGACGAUCUGUAGCGGGUCUGAGAGGAUGAUCCGCCACACUGGGACUGAGACACGGCCCAGACUCCUACGGGAGGCAGCAGUGGGGAAUAUUGGACAAUGGGGGGAACCCUGAUCCAGCCAUGCCGCGCGUGUGAAGAAGGCCUUAUGGUUGUAAAGCACUUUAAGCGAGGAGGAGGCUCUUUUGGUUAAUACCCAAGAUGAGUGGACGUUACUCGCAGAAUAAGCACCGGCUAACUCUGUGCCAGCCGCCGCUGUAA